rnacentral:rRNA from 1 species
AGCGAACGCUGGCGGCAGGCCUAACACAUGCAAGUCGAACGGAUCCUUCGGGAUUAGUGGCGGACGGGUGAGUAACACGUGGGAACGUGCCCUUUGGUUCGGAACAACUCAGGGAAACUUGAGCUAAUACCGGAUGUGCCCUUCGGGGGAAAGAUUUAUCGCCAUUGGAGCGGCCCGCGUCUGAUUAGCUAGUUGGUGAGGUAACGGCCCACCAAGGCGACGAUCAGUAGCUGGUCUGAGAGGAUGAUCAGCCACACUGGGACUGAGACACGGCCCAGACUCCUACGGGAGGCAGCAGUGGGGAAUCUUGCGCAACGGGCGAAAGCCUGACGCAGCCAUGCCGCGUGAAUGAUGAAGGUCUUAGGGUUGUAAAAUUCUUUCAGCGGGGACGAUAAUGACGGUACCCGCAGAAGAAGCUCCGGCUAACUUCGUG